rnacentral:lncRNA from 1 species
UGAUGAUAUAGUAUUGAUAGAUGAGACGAGGGUCGGUGUUAGUGAAAGGCUAGAGGUAUGGAGACAGACUCUCGAGUCUAAAGGUUUCAAAAUAAGCAGUUCUAAGACAGAAUACUUGGAGUGCAAGUUUAGUGCCGAGCCGAGCGAAGUAGGCAGGGACGUGAUGAUUGGAUCUUAGGUCAUCGCAAAGAGGGACAGUGUCAAAUAUCUUGGGUCGGUGAUUCAGGGGGACGGAGAGAUUGACGGGGACGUCACUCAUCGUAUAGGAGUGGGAUGGUCAAAGUGGAGGCUUGCACAGGAGUCCUGUGUGACAAGAAAGUUCCACAGAAACUCAAGGGGAAAUUUUAUAGAGCUGUGGUUAGACCUGCAAUGUUGUAUGGGGAAAAUGAAGUAGCACGCUUAAAAAUGUCAUUUGAUACUAAGACCAAGCAAGACAAAAAUAGAAUUGUUACACGUCUUAAUAUCUAAUAUUAAGGAAAUUAAAUCAACUAGCACGGUCAAAGUGGAGGCUUGCAUCAGGAGUCCUGUGUGAUAAGAAAGUUCCACAUAAACUCAAGGGGAAAUUUUAUGGAGCUGUGGUUAGACCUGCAAUGUUCUAUGGGGCGGAGUGCUGGCCCGCGAAGAACUCUCAUGUUCAGAGAAUGAAGGU